rnacentral:lncRNA from 1 species
ACACAACCUAGUGAAACUUCCACUGACUCAACAGACAACCUAGACCUAGACCUUCCCAUUGCUGUCAGAAAAGGCAACAGAGAAUGCACUAAUUGACCAUUCUAUCCACUAUUACACUAUGUGUCUCUUAAGCACCUAUCACCAGCCGACAAGAAUUUUAUUGUGAGUCUAAACACCACUAUCAUCCCUAACACUAUUUCUAAGGCAUUGACAAAAAAUGAAUGGAAGGAUGCUAUGAGAGAGGAGAUGAGUGCAUUAGAAAACAAUAAAACAUGGGAGAUUGUUGAAAGACCGAAAGGGAAAAACAUUGUUGAUUACAAGUGGAUUUUCACACUAAAAUAUAAGGCUGAUGGAUCUCUUAAGAAACAUAAAGCAAGAUUGGUAGCCAAAGGGUACACUCAAACUUAUGGAGUUUAUUAUUAGGAGACUUUUGCUCAAGUUGCAAAAAAAUGAAUACUGUCAGAAUCCUGCUGUCAUUGGCUGCCCACUACAAUUGGCAACUCCUACAGUAUGAUGUUAAGAAUGCAUUUCUUCAUGGUGAUUUAGAUGAAGAGAUUUACAUGAACAUCCCACCGGGAUUUGAGGGAAACACAGGUAACAAGGUGUGCAAGCUGAAAAAGGCCCUUUAUGGUCUAAAACAAUCUCCUAGGGCUUGGUUUGGGAGAUUUUCAAAAGUCAUGAAAGAGUCUAGGUACAAACAAAGUCAAGGUGACCAUACUCUCUUUAUUAAGCACUCGGUUGCAAGGGGAGUAACUGCUCUUCUAGUCUAUGUUGACGACAUCAUAGUGACUGGAAAUGAUGAGAGAGAAAAACAUGAAGUAAAACAAAGAUUAACAACAGAGUUUGAAAUAAAGGAACUAGGGAAACUGAAGUACUUCCUCGGUAUUGAGGUGGCAUAUUCCACACAAAAAAUCUUCAUCUCUCAACAAAAGUAUGUGAUUGAUUUAUUGGCAAAAAUAGGGAAGAUUGGGUGUAAACUAGUCUCUACCCCAAUGGAUCCAAACCACAAGGUGGGAGAAGCUAAAGAAGAACCAGUGGUGGAUAAAAGAAUGUACCAAAGGCUGGUUGGCAGACUCAUAUACCUUGCUCACACUCGGCUAGACAUCGCCUACUAGGUGAGCAUAGUCAGUCAAUUCAUGCAUGAUCCAAGAGAACAUCACCUUCAAGCUGCUUGCAGGGUGCUACAUUACUUGAAAGACAACCCCGAGAAAGGAAUUUUGUUCAAGAAGAACAAUACUCUUACUCUAAAAGCAUACACCGACGCUGAUUAUGCAGGUUCCCUAGUGGAUCGAAGAUCAACUACAAGGUAUUAUACUUUUCUUGGGGGUAAUCUAGUAACAUGGAGAAGUAAAAAGCAAAAUGUGGUAGCAAAGUCGUCUGCAGAAUCAGAGUUUAGGGUCAUUGCUCAAGGGUUGUGUGAACUACUUUGGCUGAAGAUUAUUCUAGAUGAUUUGAGAAUCAAGUGAGAUGGUCCUAUGAAACUCUAUUGUGACAACAAGUUAGCUAUCAAUAUUGCUCAUAACCCUAUACAACACGAUAGGACAAAACAUAUUGAGAUUGAUAGGCAUUUCAUCAAAGAAAAAUUGGAGGAAGGAGUAGUGUGUAUGUCCUAUGUUCCAUCAGAACAUCAAUUAGCUGAUAUCCUAACAAAAAGGUUGAACAGUUCAAUGUUUCACAAUCUUGUAUUCAAGUUGGGAAUGGAAGGCAUCUAUUCCUCAGCUUGAGGGAGAGUGUUGAGCUGUAAAUAGAAUAGGAGAAUUAUUUUCCGAUUAUGUUAGUUUCCUAUUUCUGUAAAUAGAUAGUUUUAUGAUUUAGGAAUAAAUUAGUUUCCUAUUAUGUCUCUUGUUUCCUAUUUCUUCUCUUGUAAUCUCCUAUAUAAACUGUAUGUAUAGUCAAUCUAAUAGACAGAACUUAUUAUUUUUCAUUUGUGUCACUUAUUAAUAAUAAACCAAGUUGAAGAAUAUAGAGUAUUUGAGCAUCAGAGCACAGAGCCAAUUAGAAAACAAAAUUGAAGAAUAUAUAGUAUUUGACCAUUAGAGCACAAAGCCAGUUAGAGUGCACAAUACCAACUGAUAAUAACAGCAAACUAAAGGAAACUGAGAAACAUGAAGGUAGAAAAGUAGUUGUUUAGGUCAUAAUAAUUUAUUUGGCAAAAUGCCCUUAAACUGCACAGUAUGACCAUAGUUCAACCGCCUCAAAAUUGAGAAAUAAAGGAGUACACAGUGAAUGACUCACAAUUCCAUAGAUUAAGUGAUUGAAGCAACGAAAUCGCUCCCACCAACUAAACAAUGAACCAUCCGGCUGUCUCACAAAAGCUUCAACCUCAUCCCACUCAAAUUGUAAAUCCAUUCCUGAGAGCGAAAGUGAGUAUGAGUUAUUACUCCUAUGUGGAAGAAACCAUAAUUGUAAAAAUCAGCAUUUUUAAUCAAGAAAUUUUAUUAUGAAAAUCCAUUAGUAAGGAUUUUAAACCAGGGACAAUAAAAACCAAAAGAUAAAAUGAAAACAGCAUAGUAUACCAAUAUGAGUUGGUUUCUUUAUUUGCAACUCAGCUGCAGCCCUCCCCAAAGUUUCCAAAGGUGCAGCCAGCUGGAAGAAGAAUAAUCACAAUCAAAACUGUUACCCAAUUGCACCAAAUUUCCAUGUUAGACAAAGUACAGAAACAACAAUUAAUCCGAACAGGGACAAAAUGAAUUUCUUUCUUUAAUUCCAUUAAAAUAUAUAUAUAUCCUAGAAAAAUAACAUGCUAAAUCCAUACAAUAUAGCAAACAUAAAACUCAAAUUUUCCUAAUCAGAAAGAACUAUCGAUCUAAAAAUGCAAAAGAAUAACUUGGAACAAGACCUGGUGACUCCACUGAAUUUUGCAAACCAAUGCAGUUAAUUUGCCUUAUCAGAAACAUCCAAAGACCAAACCAGCAUACCAUAAAAUUCCUUUUUCACUGCAAGAGGUCAUACAUCACUGGAUAUUGGUAUAAAACCCUAAAUACACUAUAAUCAUGAUAAAAUUCUCUAAAUUCAUUGGGGUGACUGACUUUUUUGGUGGCCAUCCACCUUCCACAAUCCUCUUCCCUCCUAUAGGCUUUAGACAAGCUACCUGAGGGAUAGAACAUUCAAUACCAGACACACACGCAUAAAACCAAUAUUCUCAUGAGAAAUUCCAUGAAUCACAAGAGAGUUAUUAAUCUUUUCAUCAGAAAAAAUUUGCUUAAAAUUUAAAAGCACAACAAAAUUCCAAUUGCAUGAACCAGAAGAUGGCUAAAUGGAAAAUUCAACAAUAGGGAGAAAAUACAACGCAGUAGAACAUUACAAAGGUAAGAACAAAAUCAAACCUUAAUAAACUCAUCUGCAAUGCCAAUAACCUUCUCAACUGUCAAACCCGCCUGCUUAAACUCCUCUACAAGAACCUCCACGCAAUCAAAACUCUCAUCUCUUUCCUUCACGGCCCGCUUUGGCACCACCACCCCUAUCUCAAAAGCAGUGCGUUCCUCACCUUGCCCAUUCAUUUCUUUGCCCAAUCCACCCUUCCCACCUCAAAACCUCAACAAAACAACACCAGAAACGGCUUCAAUAACCCAAACACCCAAAUGGGUCUCCCUGUUCAAACCAGAACAAACCUCGCAUCAACCAAUUAGACGAAAUAACCGGUACUCAGCUCCCCAAUGAAGCCAGGAACACCCAAGAACGGCCAAGCUCAAAUCAAUACUCGAUCAACCAAAGAGAUUAAUUUUCUGGCCAAAGGACGAAAUGGGUCCUUGAAAACAUUGAAAAAAAUAAAACAUGGAUUGAGAAAACAGGUGUCUGCAAAAUCGAGGAUUGGGGAAGAACUAUGGACGGCGACGGACACGUGGAUCCGGACAUGUCCCUUUGUGGAGUAAUCAUUUGGGUGAGUCGCGAGGUACGAUUCUCUAUGUAUCCUCGGUGUCUGUGAUAUAUAAUGCCUGCUUGAUCCACUCGUGACCACCCACCUCUCCCCCCUCUCUCUGUCUCUCUCUCUCUGCUAUACAGCCUAUACCCAAUUUGCAGGCGAUGAUGAGCUGAAAGCUAGAUAUGAGGGUUCAAGCAUUAUACCAUGAAAAAAACACUACAAUACAGCAUCUGUAAUGCUUUUUGUUCUAUAUUCCUUCAUUCUUUUUUGUGGGGUUGGGUUAUUUACUAACCAUAGGGUUGAAAGCUUUGCAAUAAGGACAGGUGAUAGAGAGAAUCGAUAAGGUGAAACUGUGGAGGCUGUGUCUGCAGAGUAUUGGUGGGUACGUUACCUUGUUAUGAAGCAGAUCCUGUUUGGAUACAAUCAUUUAAUGUAUGUAUGUUUUUAUUUGAAAUUCAAAUGAAAUAAAGAGUGGGUUUUUGAAUUUGUAAGGUUGGAAACUUCUUCCCUUCCCCACCCACCCACAUUCCUUAUAAAAAAACUAAAAUAUUUGGGGUUGUCUUAAGGGGUAAUGGAAUAUUGUUUCAAUGCUUAAUCCUAAUUUCAAUGAAGUUGGAUCGAGCUUUUUAAGGUCCGUGUUUUUUUUUUAUUGAAUUUCGUUUUAACUAAAAAUAAUUUGUUGAUAUCAAUUAAUAUAAUUAAAUUAAAUAUUUAAUUUUUUUUAUUCAAUAAAAAAAUACCACUUAAAUCUUAUUUUCAUUAACUUUUAAAAAAAAUUAGAAAUUCAAAAUUGUUUUUAAAUUUCAAUAAAAAUUUGUAUACCCAUUUGGUAAUUUUUGCUUAAAAACCACCUACCAAAAAUUAUUAAAAUGUUAUUUCUUGUAACAAUUCUAUUUUGUCUUAUAUAAUAAGUUUUUUUUUUCAUAUUUAAUAAAAUUUUUAUAAUAUUAAUAUCAUCGUUUUAAAUAUUAUUUCUCAUUAAUGCUUUAUUUUAAGUUAUGUAAGAAAUGAUCUUGUGUGUUAAUGGGGCAUGAUAUCGAUAUGAUUUUUAUAUAAUUAUGGAUUUAAUCCAAAAGCUAAAAACAAAAGGCUAUCUUAAAGUGGACUCUAAGCAUAUUUGAAUUGGUUCAUAAAAAGUCAAGAUCUAAUUUAUAACUUAGAUAAGCCCUUUUGUUCAUAUUUGUAUAGCUUUAUUAACAAAAAAUUAUACUUGAGUUAAGAAAUUAUUAUUUUUUUCUAAAAUAUUUUAUUUUAUCGUAUUUUAUUAUAUUGUUUUAUUUAAUAAAUAUUUAUAUAAUUAAUAUUAUUGUAAAAAAAUUAUAACUUUGACUUUAAUUUUAAAUUUCAAAGACAGUAAAUUUUUUUGAAACUAUUAAAAACUAGAAAUCCAUUCAUUCUAAAAGCUUAAGGCUUGGUAGUUGUUUUUGAAAAUUAUUUUAAAAAAUAAUUUUUGAUAAGAGUUUUUGAAAAUUAUUCUAUGAUUUGAUUUUUUAGAACAAAUUUUUAAAAUUAUUUUAUAUAACAAAAGUUUUUUGGAAACUUAGAAUGUUUUUAACCUAUUUUAAAUAUUUUUUUAAGUAAUUUUUAUAGUUAGUGUUUUAUUUUUAAUCAUUUUAUAUGUUUGUAUAAUUAUUUCUUAAAAUAAUAUAAAAUAAUUAAAAGAUGUUAUCUUAAAACAUUCUAUUUUUUAUUUUUAAUAAUAGAAAACAAAAAACAGUUUUUGUUAUAAAGAAUAUAAAACUAUUAUAAAAAACAAUUUUCAAACACACCCUUAAGUUCUAUUUGGGAAGUGUUUUCGAAAAUAGUUUUUAAAAACUAUUUUUUUCAGAAUUGUUUCGUUGAUAUUUUAUAAAAUAAAAUUUUGUUUAAGAACUUUAAAUGAUUUUAAACUAUUUUCUAUAUUUUUAAAAAUAUUUUUUAUAUCUAAUACUUUAUUUUAUAUAAUUAUUUUUUAAAACAAAAAACAAGUAAAUAUAACUAAAAUCAACAAAAAAAAUUAUUCAAAAAUACCAAAAAUUUAAAAAUAGGAAAUUAUUUUAUAUUUUUUGGUUGUUAAAUAUAUUUCUAUUUUUUUUAUAUGAAAAUUUGAAAAUUAUUGUUCUUGAAGUGCUUGUAUUUUCACGUGUAUAUUCAUUAUAAUUAUUUAAUUAUUUAUUAUUAUAAUUAUGGUAUAUUUUUAUCUCUAUUUUUUGCACAUGUUUGAUUAUAUCAUUAAUACGAUGAAAUAAAGACAAGCAAACAUUAAUUUAUUACAAAAGGACAAGAUUUCUUCACGUGAUUUAAGAGAAAAUAAGGUUAAUAACCAAUUUAAUCCACAAAACCUAAACCCUCUAUCAAUUUCGAAUUUUAAAUAUUUAAAUAAUUGAAACUUUCAUCAAAAGGAGAAUAUUUUAUAAUUAUAAAAAAAAUAUAAUUAUUAAAAAAAUUUACUAUCUUAAAUUUUAAAAUAUUUGUUAAUUAUUUUAGGGAAUUCUUUUUUUAGAUUAAUUUUUUAUUUUUUAUAAAAAUUAUUAUUAUUUUAUAUUUUAUUUUGAAAAUAUAAAAAAUUGGAAAGUGUAUCCAAACAACACGUUAAUUCAUUGAAAUUGAGGUUGGAAAAUGGAAGGGAGCGAGGGAGCAGGGGCCCACUUGACGCAUCAGAUGGGAUAGGCCUCCAGGUCAAGACAGUGGGUUGGGCCGAAUUUGAGCUUGGUUUGGCCCAUUUGGGUUACGCUUUAUUGUCAAUACAAAGCUUGGUCAAGGAGAAAACAGUAAUUUCAGAAAUCUACGCGUAUAUUCGCCUUCUCCUCGAAGAAAGUCCCACUAAGAGGUUGCUCGGAAGGCAAACGCCAAACCCUAAGGCUCGAGAGUCAAAUUCCUCACAACCAAUCCCCGAAAUCGAAUUUUCUGACGCAGGAACCGUAGAUCGGAGAUCAUCCAAGAAACCAUGGGAAACACAGAGAAACUGAUGAACCAAAUCAUGGAAUUGAAGUUUACCUCGAAAUCCCUCCAACGCCAGGCGAGAAAGUGCGAGAAAGAGGAGAAAGGCGAGAAACUCAAGGUCAAGAAAGCGAUCGAGAAGGGCAACAUGGACGGAGCCCGUAUCUACGCCGAGAACGCCAUCCGCAAACGCACCGAGCAGAUGAACUACCUCCGCCUCUCCUCACGCCUCGACGCCGUCGUCGCCCGCCUCGACACACAGGCCAAGAUGACCACCAUCAGCAAGUCCAUGGGCUCCAUCGUCAAGUCUCUCGAAUCUACUCUUGCCACCGGCAAUUUGCAGAAGAUGUCCGAGACGAUGGACCAGUUCGAGAAGCAAUUCGUCAACAUGGAGGUUCA